GCGUGAGCGUGCAGAAGAAGGCAGAUCGGGAUAGGCGUUACAUGGCGGCGAUGAGGUGCCCAGACGCGCUUUCUCAAGGACGCUACGUGGGAGCCCGAUUUUGCCCGCAAUGUCAAUAUACUUGGGCUAUGGAGGUAGCCGAGGGCUACCACGACUGGUGGACUUACAUCUAGCCACAUAAUGUGGCGACGGACGCCUGCUGGGACUAGAGUAUUUAGACCUCCCUCUCUACCACCCGGACCCUCCCCUCUCUUAAAAGGGGAAUAAAGUGCAUUCAUUCAUUCAUUCA